UCAACAGCCCGGUCUGUCGCGGUGAUGACCGCAAGGUUUGUCAACGAGGAAAGUCGGGACAACAGAGAGCGCCGUACUUCCUAACGGGAAGGGUCCGCCCUUUGGCGGAAACAGCAAGUGCCACAGAAAAUAACUUCCCUCUUACGCCAAGGCUUCGGAGGGUAAAGGUGAAAAUGUGGGGUAAGAGCCCACGGGUGAAUAUGGUGACAUAUUCAUCGGGUAAACCUUACGGGUUGAAAGAUCAUGUAUACCGGGGAUUCAUCAGAUGAUGGAGAAGGGCUGCUCGUCCGGUCCCGGGGGGUUGGUCGUUACAUCCUGAUGGUGACAUCAGGAGUAGAUAAAUGACAGAUUAAACAGAAUCCCGCUUAUGAGGCUGUUGAUACU
rnacentral:RNase_P_RNA from 1 species